GUUUGGAGAACAAUGGUUGCCAAUGUGGCAUAGCUUUGUAUGCUUUGCGGGGGGCGGAUACUCCCGUUCUUGGUGCGGAAUCCGCGUUCAAACA
rnacentral:tRNA from 1 species